AAAACAGGGUUUAUCGCUUCUUGGCCUUUUGGCUAAGAUCAAGGGUAGAAAACAGGGUCUGUGGACCUGUUUAGAA
ensembl:miRNA Gm44457 predicted gene, 44457